rfam:Aeromonas hydrophila subsp. hydrophila ATCC 7966, complete genome.
UAGCAGGCUGGAGGCUGUAAUCCACGGUCGGUAGCGUG